GGGGAAUAUUGCGCAAUGGGGGAAACCCUGACGCAGCAACGCCGCGUGAAGGAUGAAGGUUUUCGGAUUGUAAACUUCUUUGAUGAGGGAAGAAAGAAAUGACGGUACCUCAAAAACAAGCCACGGCUAACUACGUGCCAGCAGCCGCGGUAAUACGUAGGUGGCGAGCGUUGUCCGGAAUUACUGGGUGUAAAGGGCGUGUAGGCGGGAUUGCAAGUCAGGUGUGAAAUUCCCGAGGCUUAACCUCGGAGCUGCAUCUGAAACUGUGGUUCUUGAGUGCUGGAGAGGAUAGUGGUAUUCCUAGUGUAGCGGUGAAAUGCGUAGAUAUUAGGAGGAACACCAGUGGCGAAGGCGACUAUCUGGACAGUAACUGACGCUGAGGCGCGAAAGCGUGGGGAGCAAAC
rnacentral:rRNA from 1 species